rnacentral:lncRNA from 12 species
AUGUUUAUGAGCCACCAGCUCACAUCCUAUUCUUGCACAACACUUUCUACUUUUCAAAAUGCUUUUAUAGGUUAUCUUUUUGGAUCCGACUCCCGGUACUGCAGCCAUCUGUCACUGCCUCUGUUUUUACUACUGAAGCAACAAACACACGGAAGGGGAAUUGUUAAACCUGUGGGAUCCCACGGAGCUCGACGGGGGAAGUGGACACAUCACAUGCUCCCCAGUCCCCAGGGAGUGGGGACCCAGGAAGGUGGCCCACACGGUCACGUUCAAAACCAGCAUGCCGGAGGUGUUAGGACUGCAGCCGGCUGGAAGGGAAGCCGGCGUGGGAUGCGAAAAGGGAGGCAGCUCAGAAGAACCAGGCCAUGCUCUGCUGCUGCAGAUGUGCUGAGAACACGCAAGGCUCGAAGGGCUACCAGCCUGUGAUCAGGGAGGGUGUGAAGAGGUCUGUUCCAGUAACCAGCUCUGAAGACGAACCUCUCGGAGCUACAAACCCAACUCCAGGGAACCGAAAUGCCUGCUCGGUAAGGAUACGUUUCUCUUUAAUAAAAUAUUUAAAAGGAAAGACA